rnacentral:tRNA from 1 species
GUAGAUAGCUCAGUUGGUACAGCAUGAGACUCUUAAUCUCUGGGUCGUGGGUUCAAGCCUCACGCUGGGCA